rnacentral:rRNA from 1 species
AUUGAACGCUGGCGGCAGGCCUAACACAUGCAAGUCGGGCGGAUGAAGGGAGCUUGCUCCUGGAUUCAGCGGCGGACGGGUGAGUAAUGCCUAGGAAUCUGCCUGGUAGUGGGGGAUAACGUCCGGAAACGGGCGCUAAUACCGCAUACGUCCUGAGGGAGAAAGUGGGGGAUCUUCGGACCUCACGCUAUCAGAUGAGCCUAGGUCGGAUUAGCUAGUUGGUGGGGUAAAGGCCUACCAAGGCGACGAUCCGUAACUGGUCUGAGAGGAUGAUCAGUCACACUGGAACUGAGACACGGUCCAGACUCCUACGGGAGGCAGCAGUGGGGAAUAUUGGACAAUGGGCGAAAGCCUGAUCCAGCCAUGCCGCGUGUGUGAAGAAGGUCUUCGGAUUGUAAAGCACUUUAAGUUGGGAGGAAGGGCAGUAAGCUAAUACCUUGCCGUUUUGACGUUACCAACAGAAUAAGCACCGGCUAACUUCGUG